ensembl:lncRNA
CUUAUUUAUAGCCAUGCAGGGGGUGGGUCUUUGUAGUGCUCUCGCUGGGUGUAGAGUUCACUGGUGAGUGUGAGUGCAACUGUAGAAAGGGUUUCGCAUGAAGGCAGAGUGGAAAACCCUAACAAAGAAUUGGACAGGAGCUGCUCUGCUGAGAAACCUGGCGAGGUGUUGCAAGACUGAGCGUAAGGAGUGCAGAACACAGUAGUUUGCUACAACUCUCCUCAAUGAUAGAGGCUUCAGUUAUGAAUGCUGUACCACAGAGGAAGAAAAUGGACACUUUAUGAGGUUUGAUGACUGGGGGGCAUUGCCUACAUGAAAUGCUGACUAAUCUCAGUGUAACUGAUGGCACCUUUCUGCGAGGUGAGAUGCCUUCCCUGGUGCUUUGGGUGAAGAACAGGUAGGCACACACACCCUUCCUGUUAUAAGCCCAGGAAUGAAGUGCAUCAAGCCAGACUUGUGUUCUUGCUAAUGCCAGAAGUGGCUGUGGCAGAGACAGAUGGAGUGGGCUGAUUCAACACUGAUGCAGACCCAGCAGCUGUCAGAAUCUGUGUUGAGAG